rnacentral:lncRNA from 1 species
CAUUGAUCUAUUUUAUGUCUGCGCUGCAUACGUUGUCCCGGCCUUGUCAUGUCCACCUUGUGCCCCCAACUAAGCACCCCCCUCCCCCCCCACAGCUGAUGCGGCACCAUUUGGGGGGGUGGGCUUCUUAUCUGUCCCUCCCCUGCUGUGUCCUAGCCACGUGACACCCCCUCUCGGAGCCUCCGUUUCUUUGCCUGUCCUCAGUUCUGUCUGGCUCUGCCAGGAGGGGGCUCCGAAAGGUUCCCCGGAUGCCCGAGAAGGGGCCUGCGGGCUGCCUGGGGGCGGGGACGGGAGCCCCUGCAGAGGCGGAUGGGAAGAGUGUUUCCCCAGGGUCCCUCUGUGGUUGAGCACCCUGGGACGUCUCCCAGCCAUGAACCCCAACAAUCUCAACGCGGGUCAGCAGCCUGGGGCUUCCACUAUGAGUAGGCUCCUCUCUGAAUGGGGCUCUGGAGAAUCCAAACCCAACUCAGUGGGGGGCUCCCUGGCUCCCUGGCCUGGCUUGGAGAGAUUUGGGGGGCCCGCCUUGUGGCCCCUGAGGCUCCCGGGCCCCAACAAGGAGGUGCUGGCCUCACAGGCCUUGCCCAAACACCAGACCUUCCCGUGCCCUGCCUCUGUGGGCUACUCCUCGGGGGACACCCCCAGGUACACUUUGGGUAGAGGCCAGCUAGCCUUGCCCAGGCAGGAGGAGGCCAGGGAGCCAGGCCAGCCCCUGGACCUUCCCCCACAGGGCAGCCCCCUGGGCUCUCCCUUGGCCUCAGCCUUGCUGGGACCCAAGAAGAAGGUGAAGAAGAGGCGGCCCAAGCCGCUGUUUAAGAGCAAAAACAGCACCCCCAGAGAGGCCAGCCAUGGCCCCAAAAGGCUCAAGUCAGAGCGAGAGCCAGGAGGCGGCCCCCGGCCCAGGCCCCGGUGCCAGUACGAUGUCGUGGAGAAGUGGGAGCUGGGGCCCAUAGGUGACCACCCGCUGAACAGAUGCUCUGCCCGGCUGAGCUGGCCCUAUGGGGCCCCCUCACUAGGUGGUGCGACCAAGAGAGGGUCAGAGCCCAGGCGCGAAGGUCCUGAAAUGGGAGAGCACUUCCUUGAACAGCUGACAUUCUGUGAAGAAAAGGAGACAGAUGAGGAUUUCACGCCUUCUUCCUUCUCAAAGGCUUUACAGAAGUCCUUCACCAGGAGGGGCCUCCCCAGCCGGAGGUGGGUCUGGGUCCCCUGGGCGGGAUGGGGGCUGC